rnacentral:rRNA from 1 species
GACGAACGCUGGCGGCGUGCUUAACACAUGCAAGUCGAACGGAAAGGCCCUGCUUUUGUGGGGUGCUCGAGUGGCGAACGGGUGAGUAACACGUGAGUAACCUGCCCUUGUCUUUGGGAUAACUUCAGGAAACUGGGGCUAAUAUAGGAUAGGAGCUCUUGCUGCAUGGUGGGGGUUGGAAAGUUUCGGCGGUUGGGGAUGGACUCGCGGCUUAUCAGCUUGUUGGUGGGGUAGUGGCUUACCAAGGCUUUGACGGGUAGCCGGCCUGAGAGGGUGACCGGCCACAUUGGGACUGAGAUACGGCCCAGACUCCUACGGGAGGCAGCAGUGGGGAAUAUUGCACAAUGGGCGGAAGCCUGAUGCAGCAACGCCGCGUGCGGGAUGACGGCCUUCGGGUUGUAAACCGCUUUCGCCUGUGACGAAGCGUGAGUGACGGUAAUGGGUAAAGAAGCACCGGCUAACUACGUG